GGAGCGGUGGGGGGCGCCUGUCUUCCCGCCUGCCUACGGCGGCGGGGGCUCGCUCUCCCAUCCUCCCCUCCCUCUCCGCCUCCGCUCGCGCGUAUAAAAUGUGGAGUGAGAUCGCGCGAGCACGCGGACUGUUCGAGAAGGGGCUGCUUGUUUCCGCGUCAGCAGCAGAAGAAAUUGCGCGGCGGCGAUGCCGUUCUUCGAGGGAAUGAUGGAAUCCUCGUACGCGCCUUACCUCCGCACGCACCUCCAGCAGAUAGCAGCGUCGUUGUCCACGGCGAGCUGCGCCCCGCCUGGCGCCGAGGAGGAGGAGUGCCGGGACGAGGCCGCGGCGCUGGGGCUCAAGAUGGUGGCCAUCGCGGCCAUCCUCGUCUCCGGCGCGACGGGCGUCGCGAUCCCGCUCGCUGGCCGCCGCUGGCGCGGGCGGGGCGUCGGUGGGGCGGCGCCGGCGUCGUCCUCCUCCACCGGCGGCCUGUUCGUGCUCGCCAAGGCAUUCGCGGCGGGGGUGAUCCUGGCCACGGGGUUCGUGCACAUGCUGGACGACGCCAACGACGCGCUCGCGGACCCCUGCCUCCCGGCCGAGCCCUGGCGCCGGUUCCCGUUCCCGGGGUUCGUCGCCAUGCUCGCCGCGCUCGGGACGCUCGUCGUCGACUUCGUCGGCACGCACAUGUACGAGCGAAAGCACCGCAGCGAGGAGGAGCAGGCCGCCGCAGCCGCCAAUGGCAGCUCGCGGGAGGAGAUCGCGGCGGCGCUGCUCGAGGACGGCGCGCUCGCGGCGAGGGGCGACGUCGACGGGAGGGACGGGGGAGGCCGCAAGGAGGACGCCAUGCACAUCGUGGGCAUGCGCGCGCACGCCGCCGCUCACAGGCACAGCCACGCGCACGGGCGUGGCUCUUGCCAUGGAGGAGGGUCGUAUGACAGCCACGGCCAUGGCCAUGGACACGAUGAAGAGCCGUCUCAGGCUCGCCACGUUGUUGUCUCACAGGUUCUCGAGCUUGGGAUUGUGUCGCACUCGGUGAUCAUUGGCCUAUCGUUGGGCGUUUCACAGAGCCCCUGUACCAUCAGACCUCUGGUUGCUGCCCUCUCCUUCCACCAAUUCUUCGAGGGCUUUGCAUUGGGUGGCUGCAUUUCUGAGGCUCAGUUCAAGAGUUCCUCUGCACUCCUGAUGGCCAUUUUCUUCGCCAUCACAACACCUGCCGGGAUCACUGCGGGGGCAGGUGUCGCGUCGUUCUACAACCCCAACAGUCCAAGGGCGCUGGUGGUGGAGGGCAUCCUGGAUUCCAUGUCGGCCGGUAUACUGAUCUACAUGGCCUUGGUGGACCUCAUUGCUGCUGAUUUCCUCAGCAAGAGGAUGAGCUGCAACCCAAGGCUGCAAUUUGGUUCCUACAUUGCGCUGUUCCUUGGUGCCAUGGCCAUGGCAUCUCUUGCCAUCUGGGCUUAGUCAGCCGGAUGGAAGUGAAGCAAAUGCUUGAGAGGACCUGCUUAAUUGAAUUCCAAAACAGCAGGUCUGGUGAAUAUGGGUGUUGCAUCCUCAUCACUUUUUGGUUGUCAGUGACUGGCUAGAAUCCACUUGCCAUUUUCAGAUAUCAAUUCAUGUAGAUGACGAUGACUUGUCGCGGCCUCUUGCUUCGGAUCCGCUUGUUUUGGCAUCGCUAGGCGUCUGGGGUCGGCCCUGCGGAGUCGGAGCUGCUGGCUGCUAUGCAACCAUGCUCGGCAACGAUAACCCAGAGUUGUUGUGUACUCUGCUGCGUCGCGUGGGCAAUGGCUUCCGACGGAUAGAGACAGAAUAGGGAGAAGCUCCAAUGGAAUAUGGACUCCAACGACUCUGAAGGCCCAGACGCCCAGUGACAGCAUGAUACGACUGCCACUCGAUCAGUGGGUGCCCGGCAGACGAAUCCGUUUCGCCGUCUGCUCUACCAAUUGUGGCAACUUUGUCAGACAGCGAGAGGGUCUCUCUGGAGUGUUUCAGUGGUUGCCCGUGGUCCGUGGAGGAAUCUGCGCUCCCGGUGUCCUGGCAAGCACGGGCGCACGGCCGCAUUGCACGGUGGUGUGUCAGUAUCACUCGGCAGGGAAUACGGGAGCCAGCCAUCAUGGACAUCAAGGACUUGGGUGUGCAGUGUGCUCGAGCAGCAGAGAGAUGGAUUCGAUUCUGAAAGCUUUUGACGUGGCCAUGGCAUUUAACUGGAAGAGCUAGCAGAUGAAGCAUAGCUCCGCCUUCAUGAGCAGCACUCAGAAUUGGAUGAGAAAACACAUUGCCUUGCUUCAUUCAAGUUUAUCAUCAUAAUUUGUAUUCUUUGUUGUCAAAGGGGUGCUAUCAUGAAAUGGUUGCUCCUGCAAGUUGCCAGAGGUGAUGAUGACCGUAUAUCUUCAAGUGGAUGUGGCUUUGCAGAGUACUCUACAAACGGCACGUGAGGAAGGGUCAUUGGCAAUCUUUCCUGGUACAAGAUCCCUCCUUGAAGACCAAAUCCUGCAAGGCCCGGUAGAGGGGAUCCAGGAAAUAAAGAUAGGGGCGCGAGUCGCGAAGAUGAGGUCGUCUUCUACCUCUAGCCUCCUCCAUUCUUCAUCCAUGGUGUCUAGGGAGGCUGAGGGGAAUCGAUGGACUCCCCAGUUAGUAUGAGGCUCGAGCCCCCUAGCUACCUCUUGGAUCCGCCAGUAAGGCCCGGAAAGUAUGUUGUGUUCUUCAGAUGAAAGUCAUGUGCUGCAUUUUCAGGUACCGGCUUUCACUCGUGCUCCAUGGUGACGCUACGGAACUGUUUGAUCAAAUGGGGCUUGCGAGUGCGCUUGAGGGAGAUUCCUCUCAGUGCAUUGUCAGAAGCCACUGGACCUUUUAUCAGGUUUGCAUUGCAGUCAAAUAGGUAAUGAAUCUCCAUGGAAGAAGACAGAUGAGGGAGAGGCAGUAGCACUGAGCUCUCAACUCUCAAGGCAUGACUCGGGAGGAGGCAGUGACAACAAAACGACAUGACUUAUUGACGUGGCUGCCACCCUGGACAGAAGGAAGAAUCCGGCGCGCCGUGGUCUGCGGGUUGUUGGCAACUUGUUGGUGAGACUAUCAGGGCAAACAUUGGGCCUGCAGGCGUGUCAGAUGCUACGCGUGAAUCGGAAGAAUAUUCUCCGCCCUGUGCCCACAGCAACAGUGGCAGCGUCUGUUUGCUUUGCCUCCCGGGGAGUAGUAGGAAACGUGGCCCGUGGAGGUAGAGGUGGAAAUGUGAACGUGUAUACCCCCAAUUAUUCGAUACCAUAUCUGUUAAAAUAUAAGUAUUUAUAUCCUUAUGUGUUUUAUUCUAAUAUAUGUAACUAGAACGGUA